rnacentral:rRNA from 1 species
AAAGCGUGCGCAGGCGGUGAUGUAAGACAGAUGUGAAAUCCCCGGGCUCAACCUGGGACCUGCAUUUGUGACUGCAUCGCUAGAGUACGGCAGAGGGGGAUGGAAUUCCGCGUGUAGCAGUGAAAUGCGUAGAUAUGCGGAGGAACACCGAUGGCGAAGGCAAUCCCCUGGGCCUGUACUGACGCUCAUGCACGAAAGCGUGGGGAGCAAACAGGAUUAGAUACCCGUGU